GCCUUCGAGAGACAUUUGAUAAAAUUGAAACGAUGCAAAGAAGAUCAGCAUGGCCCUUGUGCAAGGAUCACACACACAAAUUGAGAAAUGGUCCAAAUUUUU